CUCUCAGGCAGAGUGCAUAUUAAAUACGACGGCAAAAGUACUGUAUUCAACCUCCUACAGGGAGCGAUAAUGGGUAUGAGACAUAAAGCAGGAAUGGGUUUGCGCAAGCCUGAGUAUGCUGUCAAAACUACCUAAAACCCCUGUGCAGUCUAAGGCGCAUCGGGGUCCUUAGAGUACCAUUGUGAAAAGUACAUGUAUUAAAACGCUACGAGCUACACAAUACAGGGAACACAUGGCACAUAUUCAUUGCAAAAGUACUGUGAAAUAAAGGGAGCAAUCUAAAUCCUGCUUCUCCAGACGUGGAAAGCAGCGUAAGCCUGGCACUUAGGUCAUAACACCCACACCAGCACCCUCUAAGCCUGUCAGUGACUUCCUGCAGAAGUAGAAUACAUCAUAGGAACUUGAUAGUGGCCAGCUUCCGAGCGGUAGAAUGGGAAAUUCGAACAGGUACCGAGAGUAGUCUUGCCUAGGAAGGUGGAGUACGGUCCCUGCAAAACCAAAUAUUCCGGGUUCUUAUAAACUCGGGGUCUAAUAUAACCUCAGGGUUAUUAGAUCAGAACCCCCGGGUUAUUAAGAACCUUUGGGUCCCCAUGCAGUCUUCGGGUCCUGAAAAGAUCUCAGGGCCUGGAAAAGGUAAACCUCAGGUUCUUAUAUAACCCCGGGUUCAAAACGACCUUCGGGUCCGAAAGAAACCUACGGGUUCAAAAUGACCUUCGGGUCUAGAGGAACCUCUGGGUUCCCAAACGACCUCUGGGUCCAGAGCAACCUCCGGGUUCAAAACAACCUCCGGGUUCAAAACAACCUCCGGGUCUAAAGCAACCUACGGGUUCGAAACGACCUCCGGGUCCAAAAGAAACCUCCGGGUCCUAAAUACGACCUCAGGGUCUGAAGGAACCUUUGGGUUCCCAAACGACCUUUGGGUCCUUACUCAACCUCCGGGUUCCAAAUAAGAUCUCAGGAUCUAAAGGAGAUACUCCGGAUUCCCACAUGACCUCGGGUCCAAAAGUGAGCUCCGGGUUCAUAAAACACCUCCAGGUUAUAAACGGCCUCCGGGCCAGAAACGAAGGGAGGUGGAAUGCGAUACCUGUCUGAAAGUUUACGAACUUAUAGACAGAUGUUGAUAGUGGCCUACUAACGAGUGGCAGAAUGCAACAUCUAAAAAACGACAUUGAUAGUGGCCUACCUACGGGGGCAGAGUGCAAUGUCGCACACGAUUAAGAGCAGCUUACUCACAGGGGCAGAGCUCGAUAUAACACCUUAGGACCUCCGGGUCCAAAAGGGCUAAAUUCAAAAACCUACGGGUUUGAAGAAGGGAUUCACCCUACAGCCCCAGGUUCCAGGACGAGAGUCCAUCCAGCCGCCGGGUUCCAGGACGAGAUUCCAUCCAGCCUCCGGGUUCCAGGACGAAGUCCAUCCAAUCUCCAGGUUCCUGGACGAAAGUCCAUACAACCUCCGAUUUAUGAAGAAUCGCACCCACGAGCCAUGAGUUUCAGAAGUAUGUAUCUCUAAAUCUUCAGAUUCUGGGAAAACAUGCCCAUGAUCCUCCAAGAAAGCACGACACAAGGCCAUCCUAGCAUUGCUUGUAGCCUCCCUCUGGGGGAAGAUUGCAGUAUUACAUAGUUGAGAGUGGCCAAGAAUCAUUGGCAGAGUUCAACUAGUGGUUCCACCUUCUCCAUUCCGCAUGGAAACUACUGCUCACCGCAAACAACAUGUCCAGGAAUAUUACUCUGGUACCAAGAGUCAACUAGGUUAUCUCCGAGUAACAAGACGAACAUGCUAAACGUCCCCCCUGCCAAAAGUCAAGGUACAAUCCCGAGACGAGGCAAGAAGCUACAGUUACAACAUCAAAACCUCAAGGAGCAUCAAGUAUGCUAAACGUAAUAAGGAGACCGUCACGAAGACCUGAAUGAAAGUCCAUUACAGCUUUUACAAGCUCAAGUGGCGCAAGCAAGGCUAGUAGAAUCAAGCAUGAAGAUCCUCACUUUCGGCCUCCGGGUCUUAUUAAACCUCCUCAUCCCCCUAAUCCUUAGCCUCGCCAAAAUUCUCCCUCUUAGAAUUCUUGGGUCCUGACCCAACACUCCUCCACACGUUUCAUGGAAGCAGAGAGCCUCCAGAAAUGCAAACUGAAGUCAUGCCUGAACUAAGGCCGAGUAUAGCUACAGGAGCAGCAUAAGAAUCUGGGGUAUGAGCAGAGACAUCACCCUUUAUGCAGACGUUCCCGGUUUCUCCAUCAAACUUUCAGCCAACUCCGACCAAUCCCCACCAUGGGGGCGACGUCUCAUCCUUAUAAAGGAGAAGAAGAAAGUCUUACAGGCUCAACUUGACCCUGUGUGACAUUGAUGUCCUCCCUUGGAGCAUUUACUAGUUCCUACAUGGUGGUUCUUUCUGAUUAUCCACUUCCAGGCCAUCGGAAUCAAGGGUACAACUACAUCCACGUGACCAUCCUCAUUCAGACCAAAAACAUGCCCAUUAAAGCAUGUCUGUAAGUCUAUUUACAUUCGUCCAGGUAAUGACAUCAUGCCCACUAGGUUCAUCGACGAAAACACUACCUGAUCUAGACCACGUGUCUAUAUUGAAUCAAGGAUUAUUGCCCAUUCUCCAGGCGUUAUAUCUCCAAUCAGGCUGUGAAUCCUUUCAGACUGGCCGCAAGUACAUCCACUACAAGAAAUAUAAGUAUUGAUAGCACAUCACGGUAGCACGAAUUCACAAACUGCUACUAAAAAUGGGUAGUUUGGAUGUUUAACUCUAUUAUAGCAUUAAAUCAACGCUACUUAGUAUUUUGCAGGAUUUUUACGAAGCGGGAAGACAAAAAUCCAAUUUUUAUACUUGUAAAAUUCAUUGGUGCCAAAUACUUAGUGAAAAUAUCACUUUUGCCACCAAAAUAUUUUGUUUUAGUAUAACUAUUUUUUUUUCUCUAGGUCUUUUCAUUUUUUUUUUCUUCAGAAGAAAAAAAACCUCAAUUCUCUAUUUUAUCUUCUUUUCCAUUCGUGACAAAAAAGAAUAAACUUCUCUCCAUUGCUUCAAUCGAGCUUCUUCAUCAUCCAUCUUCAUCUAUUAUGGGUCAUCUGUUUCUCUAAGUUUCCCUUUAAUCGAUUUACUGAAAUCGAAUCAGUGAAACUAAAUCUAGGGAUUGAAGAGUAUUAACGGAGGAGGAGACGGAGCCACGGCGGAGAUGCUGACGGAGUUUCAGUGACGGUAACAUCGGCUGCCUUUCUGCAAGCCUGGUAACAUCUCUUUUAUGUUUAUAAGCUAAAACUUGAACCUUUGAGGCUUUCCAUAGUUUUUCUCCCUUAGAUUUGGUCUCACAUUUUCUUUUAGCUACUCUGUUUCUUUUGUAGAAGAAGCAGACAUUUCUGGUGCUUCUGGUUCCAAGGAGAUUUUCUAGGGUUUGUGAUUUCUGAUCUUUGUUUCCAGAGCAACCCGAGUUUGAAGAUGGUUUUGACGAUGAGAUUAAGGAAAUCGUUGUGAAGUUUAAUUUCAGGUAACCUGUUGCUUCUGAGCUAAGACUCUUUUCUUUUGGCUCUUGUGUUGAAGAUGGCUUAAAAAAUCGAGUGUUGACCCUCUAAGCAUGAACACAGUCUCAGGCUUAUGAUGUUUGUAUCUGAGUGGAAUUUGGAUUUGUUUGCAAGAGGUAGAUCGAUAACUGGUUUUGGGCUAUGUAGAUAUAUGAAUCCAGCGUAUCAUCUCAAAAGGCCGAAGCAUUUGGCAUUGCUUUUCAUUGUGUUCGUCUCUGUUUCUAUGGACGUUUGGGAUCGUAUAUAUUUUGCCCAAGAAAAUGAGUUAUGUUUUGUAUGAAUAUCUCUGUCUAAGAAACAGUUUUAGUAUCAUUGUAAGCAUUAGUUUAUGCUGAUUUUUUAUGUUAGGGAGCGUGAGCGUAAAGCUGUUCGGUUCAUUGAUGAUGGCCAAAGUUCGUUCCUUUAGUUUAGAACAAUUUUAAAGCUCAUGUCUGAACAAAUUUUAAAGCUUAUGUUUCUCUUAAUUAUCAGGUAUGCAUGUUUAUUUCUUCUUUCUUCGAGAGUGCAUUCUCAUACACAAGACCUGUUGCUGUUUGGUGAGUUACUUGCAUCUGAGGAGCUUGUCUUGUGUCUGAAUCGCCUUUUGCUGUGACUGGACUGUAUUGAAACUGCAGUUUGAUAGCUUGUGGUGAGAUCUUAUUUGUCUUUCUCUGAAUCUGAUCGUAGCUCUUAUUACUGAGUUUAAGUUUCAUAUUUGUUGCAGAUGACUGAACCCAUCUUAAAGGCUGCUAGGUAUUGAUUCAGUUGGAAUGGCGUAGAGCCUGAUGAGUGAACCCGACCCGAGAAUAACAAAAUAAUAAAAUAAAAAAACACAAACAACAGAAAUGUUUUUUUGGUUAAUAAACACACAAAGGAACUGAAAAUAUGAACCACUAAUACAAAAGUGCGCGGAUCACCAUCUUAACCGUUGAUAUACUUUAAUCCAAUGGUCAGAUUUAACCCUUUUGUGUUUAUUCUCUUGUCCCUCUCUCUCCUCUGUCGUAACUUUUUCUCCUCUAUCUCCCAGUUUUUUUUAUUCUUCCUCUGUCAACCUCUACCACCGAUUUUCCUGAUUUCUUCCAUCUUCAUCCUCUUAUCUCACUGAUUUCUCUUUUCCAUCUCUCUCCCCUGUCGAACUCAUGAAUUUUGUGGCUUUUGUUUAGGGGUUUCACUAAGCUUAACAAAGCAAACUUUACUAAGUUGAGGCAAGAGAAGCGUGUUGCUCCUACGUCCAUCUUCUCCGACUCCCUCUUUCUCUCUCCCACGGCUCCAUGUCUCUCCAUCUCCAUACUGGCUAUGUCAAUGGUAGAAGAAUUGAACGUGUGAAGAAGAACCAGAGGAGGUAUGCGACUGGCGUAAGCGAAUAGAGGUUGUGGAGGCUGGAGUAAGAGAACAAAGGCUUGAGGCGGAUGCUCUAGAGGCUGGAGGCACUGCAUGCGGAGGCUGGAGGCGGACGCUCUGGUAGCGGCGGCUUAUGUUUAGGUUAAGCUUAAUUAUGUUUUGGUUAGUUAAUUAGUUUUAAACCCGGUUUGUAUGUAAACUGGUUUAAUUUAUAAACUGAAAACAUUUGUAAUCUUCUGGUUUAAUUUGUAAACCGAAAUGAGGUGUAAACCAAAAUUUUAAUAUCAACCGAAAUCAUUUGCAAACCGGUUUAAUUUAUAUAUCGAAAUCAGUUGUAAACCAAAAUUUAAUAUUUAAUAAUAAUAAUAAUCAAUUUUAUUUUUUUAAAUUUUCAGCAAACGAUUUUAAUUUUCAUAGCAUUGAAAAUAUGUCAAUAUAAAUUAUGCCAUGGCAAAAUAAAAACGCGAUAGAAAAUAAUGUCCUAGCUAAAACAAGGUGCUAUUAAAAUAGUUUAAUAUAGUACUGGGUAAACGCUAUAGCAUCUUUAUUUUUUAUAGCACACGAAAAUACGCUACGAUAGAGGAAGGAUCUACCAUAGCUGCGGCUGUCACGGCGUUCUUCGAAACGCUACGAAAACGAUAUGGUUGCACAUUCUCGACGCUAUUAAUGCCGAUAUUUCUUGUAGUGAUCCGAGCACUAUCGACAAGGGAGUUUGAUGGCUCAGGCUACGAGCCGACGUCCUACUCCAAAUUCAACAAGGAGCUUGAUACCAUGGUAAGACUCACGAAGUCCUAUGAAGAAAAUCAUGUUAUUUCCUGCCUUCAAACAUGAAACCAGAAAAUAAGGGGCGCACUGUUGGGGAAAAAUAUUCCAUGAAGAUAUUACUCCAGCUUCCGGGUUCCUGCCUCCAGCUUCCGGGUUCCUGCCCCCAGGUUCCGGGUUCCUACCUCCGGGCCUGGGUCCCUGCCUCCGGGUCUGGGUCCUGCCUCUGGCUUCCAGGCCGAGUGAUUUACCUUGCCAUAGGACAAAUGGAAAUCUUCCUUUAAUAAGAUAACCAGCUUGGACAAGAGGGAAUCUCCCUAAAUCCGAGAGAAAGAGGAAGUAUUCCAAUACAUAUGACCUCCCUUAAGAAAAAGGGAAAUAUUCUAUUAUCUAGGAAUAUAAUGAAUAUUUCCAAAUCCUAAGAGGGAGGCACGACCUCCACUAUAAAUAUAGGUUUCUAAACCUAAAGAAGGGGGUCCGAGACGUCCAGGGUCCGAGACGUCCAUGAACAGAGCUCAUCAACUCCACAGCCGCCAAGGCGAUAUUGCAUACCUAGAAGACUGUGACACCCGCCACUUUUGAAAUAUAAUAAAUUGAUAAAAGCGGAAAUAAAAUAAUAAUACAACUCAAAUAAUAAUAAUCUUCAUAUAAUAUAAAAGUCAAUACGGUACCAAAAGGCCUACAAGCCCAACAUCGAUAACAUCCGAAAUAUAAAAUACGAUAUAAACCGAAAGUCUGAAAUAGGAAUAACAUAAACGAUAAAAGUCCAAAGGCCUAAAGGCCCGAUAAAGAUAAAAGCGGUAAAAGCGAUAGAAGACCAAAAGCCCAAUAGCACCGGUCUGAUAAUCACUCCUGCUCAUCGGUCUCACCUAAAAGGGGGAAAGAAUGAGGGGUGAGCGACAGGGGAAUCGCUCAGCGAGGUAUGGGAUGCUACCCCGAAGUCCAUGGACCCGGACAUAGCACUCCGAAUAAAUAUAAUUUAAUUCUAGUGCAUGUCAAACACAGUACCUAAAGUACUCAAGCA